rnacentral:rRNA from 1 species
GAUGAGUGCUAAGUGUUGGAGGGUUUCCGCCCUUCAGUGCUGCAGCUAACGCAUUAAGCACUCCGCCUGGGGAGUACGACCGCAAGGUUGAAACUCAAAGGAAUUGACGGGGGCCCGCACAAGCGGUGGAGCAUGUGGUUUAAUUCGAAGCAACGCGAAGAACCUUACCAGGUCUUGACAUCCUUUGACCACUCUAGAGAUAGAGCUUCCCCUUCGGGGGCAAAGUGACAGGUGGUGCAUGGUUGUCGUCAGCUCGUGUCGUGAGAUGUUGGGUUAAGUCCCGCAACGAGCGCAACCCUUAUUGUUAGUUGCCAUCAUUCAGUUGGGCACUCUAGCAAGACUGCCGGUGACNAACCGGAGGAAGGUGGGGAUGACGUCAAAUCAUCAUGCCCCUUAUGACCUGGGCUACACACGUGCUACGA